AUUGAACGCUGGCGGCAUGCCUUACACAUGCAAGUCGAACGGCAGCAUGAUCUAGCUUGCUAGAUUGAUGGCGAGUGGCGAACGGGUGAGUAAUACAUCAGAACGUGCCCUGUAGUGGGGGAUAACUAGUCGAAAGAUUAGCUAAUACCGCAUACGACCUGAGGGUGAAAGUGGGGGACCGCAAGGCCUCAUGCUAUAGGAGCGGCCGAUGUCUGAUUAGCUAGUUGGUGAGGUAAAGGCUCACCAAGGCGACGAUCAGUAGCUGGUCUGAGAGGACGAUCAGCCACACUGGGACUGAGACACGGCCCAGACUCCUACGGGAGGCAGCAGUGGGGAAUUUUGGACAAUGGGCGAAAGCCUGAUCCAGCAAUGCCGCGUGUGUGAAGAAGGCCUUCGGGUUGUAAAGCACUUUUGUCCGGGAAGAAAUGGCUCUGGUUAAUACCUGGGGUCGAUGACGGUACCGGAAGAAUAAGGACCGGCUAACUACGUG
rnacentral:rRNA from 1 species